GGGCACUCUAGGGGGACUGCCCCCGAAAGGGGGAGGAAGGAGCGGGCUACGGCAGGUCGGUAUGCCCCGAAUCCCCCGGGCCGCACGCGACGUUCAAUGGCGGAGACAGUGGGAUGCAACCCCGAAAGGGGAAGCAAAUCCCUAAACUCCGCCUCAGUAGGAAUCGAGGGUUGCAACUCGCCCUCGUGAACGCGGAAUCCCUAGUAACCGCGCGUUACCACCGCGCGGUGAAUACGUCCCCGCUCCUUGCACACACUGCCCGUCGCUGCAUCCGAGCUGGGCUGAGACGAGGGCUACUCAAGUUGGGUAGUUCGAGUCUCAGCCUGGUGAGGAGGCAGAAGUCGUAACAAGGUGGCCGCACGGGAACGUGUGGCCGGAUCACCUCCUGAG
rnacentral:rRNA from 1 species